GUGAAUCAUCAAAUUUUUGAACGCAAAUUGCACUCCCUGGUAUUCCGGGGAGUAUGCCUGUUUGAGGGUCGGUAGAACAAAAAUCUAAGCGUCGCCCUUUUUUUUAAGGGUGAUCGCGUCGGAAUUGAGCCGUCUUUCAAAUGUUAAUUCAUGUCAAAGUGGCCUAAAAUUGAUCCAUCCGGUACGAUUAAAGCGGAUUUAAGAUCAAUUUUGAUUAAGAACGCGCGAUGACCGUACCAUUUCAUGUAGUACGUUUGACUUGAUGUCGUCAGGAUCAUCUCGUAUACGAUGCU
rnacentral:misc_RNA from 1 species